rnacentral:rRNA from 3 species
GUAAUAGCUCACUGGUCGAGUCGGCCUGCGCGGAAGAUGUAACGGGGCUAAACCAUGCACCGAAGCUGCGGCAGCGAACGUAUCACUUAAAGCGAUUCAGCGGGUUACGAUUGACGGAGCGAAGCGACGUCAAAGCGUAUACAAAGUCGAGUCGGUUUAAGGAUACGUUCGUUGGGUAGGGGAGCGUUCUGUAAGCCUGCGAAGGUGGCCUGUGAGGGUUGCUGGAGGUAUCAGAAGUGCGAAUGCU